rnacentral:lncRNA from 1 species
GUGUUGAAGUGUGGCAUCCUCUGAUUGGUGUCGAAGUGCAUCGCAAAGAGUUGGUCAAACUACUCAAAUGAAUAGAAACUCCCCAAUUGAAGUCUGGAGUACCAUAUUCGGGUAGUUUUUUGAAGUGUGAUCGAAAAAGCAAUGCAGAGGAGGGUGUCAGAUGCCCCUUGAAGAAGCAUGAGACUUUGUAGCUCUCGAGUUGGUCGAGUGGAUCAGUGGAGCUAUCAUAUGGCUCCAUAUGCGGUAUCUUAAACUGACUAAGAAUUGGUUCGUUGAGGAUCUAU